rnacentral:rRNA from 1 species
AUACGUAGGGUGCAAGCGUUAAUCGGAAUUACUGGGCGCAAAGCGUGCGCAGGCGGUUUUGUAAGACAGAGGUGAAAUCCCCGGGCUCAACCUGGGAACUGCCUUUGUGACUGCAAGGCUAGAGUAUGGCAGAGGGGGAUGGAAUUCCGCGUGUAGCAGUGAAAAGCGUAGAUAUGCGGAGGAACACCGAUGGCGAAGGCAAUCCCCUGGGCCUGUACUGACGCUCAUGCACGAAAGCGUGGAGAGCAAACAGGAUUAGAUACCCUGGUAGUCCACGCCCUAAACGAUGUCAACUGGUUGUUGGGUCUUCAUUGACUCAGUAACGAAGCUAACGCGUGAAGUUGACCGCCUGGGGAGUACGGCCGCAAGGUUGAAACUCAAAUGAAUUGACGGGG